AUGCCGCUCGCCGGCAUUGCACUCGCGCCUCUCCUCGUCUCCCCUCACGCGCCUUCCUCUCCCCGUGGCAGCGUCGCCGUCUCUGUAGAGGCCGCGAGAAGGCGUCGCGCGCUACGGCGAGUGCGGUGCUCGGCCGCAGCGGCGUCCGGCGGAGACGGGGACGCCGGCGAGCUCUCACGCGCGACGCUGCUCUGGAGAGCGGCCAAGCUGCCCAUCUACUCCGUGGCGCUCGUGCCACUCACCGUAGGCACUGCUGCUGCUUAUAACCAUGCGGGGCUGUUCUUUGCCAGACGCUACUUUGGCCUCUUGGCUGCUGCUAUCCUUGUGAUCACCUGGCUCAAUCUGAGCAGCAAUGACGUUUAUGAUUCAGAUACUGGCGCUGAUAAGAACAAGAAAGAAUCUGUCGUCAACAUUGUUGGCAGUUGGGCAGUGACACAAUAUGCUGCAAACGUUCCUCUUCUGUUCGGCUUUGGAGGGCUAUUUUGGGCCUUUACAGAAGCAGGAGACGUCAGGUUCAUCACUUUGGUUCUAUGUGCAAUCCUUUGUGGUUAUGUUUCUCAGGUGUUCUGA
rnacentral:rRNA from 1 species